rnacentral:rRNA from 1 species
UGACGGUACCUGACUAAGAAGCACCGGCUAAAUACGUGCCAGCAGCCGCGGUAAUACGUAUGGUGCAAGCGCUAUCCGGAUUUACUGGGUGUAAAGGGAGCGCAGGUGGCCUGGCAAGCCAGAAGUGAAAGCCCGGGGCUUAACCCCGGGACUGCUUUUGGAACUGUUGGGCUGGAGUGCAGGAGGGGUAAGCGGAAUUCCUGGUGUAGCGGUGAAAUGCGUAGAUAUCAGGAGGAACACCGGUGGCGAAGGCGGCUUACUGGACUGUAACUGACACUGAGGCUCGAAAGCGUGGGGAGCAAACAGGAUUAGAUACCCUG